CAGCCGCCGCGGGAAUACGAAGGGUGCAAGCGUUAAUCGGAAUUACUGGGCGUAAAGCGUGCGUAGGCGGUGAGUUAAGUCUGCUGUGAAAUCCCCGGGCUCAACCUGGGAAUGGCAGUGGAUACUGGCUCGCUAGAGUGUGUCAGAGGAUGGUGGAAUUCCCGGUGUAGCGGUGAAAUGCGUAGAGAUCGGGAGGAACAUCAGUGGCGAAGGCGGCCAUCUGGGACAACACUGACGCUGAGGCACGAAAGCGUGGGGAGCAAACAGGAUUAGAUACCCCGGUAGUCCCUGUCUCUUAUAC
rnacentral:rRNA from 1 species